ACAGGAGGUCUGCAGAGAGGAGAUCCGUGCUGAUCCGAAAUCUCAUGAUCAGAAGGGAGGCAAGCAGACGGUGAUACAGUUCCUACACACGUAUCUCAUGUACAUCCGUCUGAGCAAGACCAGCGAGAGAUACUUGCUGCUCGUAGACUCGCUGAAAGCCAGCCUCACAGCAGGGGGCGCCACCGACGGCAAGAAGGUCGCCAAGCCUCAGGAUCUUAUACGAUUGUACGACGUCAUUAUUCAG